ensembl:snoRNA
UGUCCAUGACCUGGGUAGUGUGGCAUCUGGUUGGUGGUACCCAUCUCAUAUCAGCCAGGGACAAAGUAACCCCUUGUUUAUCCGAGGUUGGCUUUUGAUCUGUUCUCAUGCCUGGUUCAUGCCUUGGCCAUAUGG